rnacentral:rRNA from 1 species
UACGAAGGGGGCUAGCGUUGCUCGGAAUCACUGGGCAUAAAGGGUGCGUAGGCGGGUCUUUAAGUCAGGGGUGAAAUCCUGGAGCUCAACUCCAGAACUGCCUUUGAUACUGAGGAUCUUGAGUUCGGGAGAGGUGAGUGGAACUGCGAGUGUAGAGGUGAAAUUCGUAGAUAUUCGCAGGAACACCAGUGGCGAAGGCGGCUCACUGGCCCGAUACUGACGCUGAGGCACGAAAGCGUGGGGAGCAAACAGG